rnacentral:rRNA from 1 species
UACGAAGGGGGCUAGCGUUGUUCGGAAUUACUGGGCGUAAAGGGCGCGUAGGCGGCUCUUUAAGUCGGGUGUGAAAGCCCCGGGCUCAACCUGGGAAUUGCAUUCGAGACUGAAUAGCUAGGGUACGGUAGAGGGAAGUGGAAUUUCCGGUGUAGCGGUGAAAUGCGUAGAUAUCGGAAGGAACACCAGUGGCGAAAGCGACUUCCUGGACCAGUACCGACGUUCAGGCACGAAAGCGUGGGGAGCAAACAGG